GAGUUUGAUCCUGGCUCAGAAUCAACGCUGGCGGCGUGCCUAACACAUGCAAGUCGAACGCGAAAGGGGCUUCGGCCCUGAGUAGAGUGGCGAACGGGUGAGUAACACGUGGGUGACCUGCCUUCGAGUGGGGGAUAACAUUCCGAAAGGAGUGCUAAUACCGCAUGACAUCCUUCCUUUGAACAGGCGGUGAUUAAAGCCGGGGAUCGUAAGACCUGACGCUUGAAGAGGGGCCCGCGUCCGAUUAGCUAGUUGGUGGGGUAAUGGCCUACCAAGGCGACGAUCGGUAGCCGGCCUGAGAGGGCGGACGGCCACACUGGGACUGAGACACGGCCCAGACUCCUACGGGAGGCAGCAGUGGGGAAUUGUUCGCAAUGGGCGCAAGCCUGACGACGCAACGCCGCGUGGAGGAUGAAGAUCUUCGGGUCGUAAACUCCUUUCGAUCGGGACGAAUGGCUGGAGACCUAAUACGUCUUCAGAGUGACGGUACCGAGAGAAGAA
rnacentral:rRNA from 1 species